CGGUUAAGUUAGAAAGGGCGCACGGUGGAUGCCUUGGCACUAGGAGCCGAUGAAGGACGGGACGAACACCGAUAUGCUUCGGGGAGCUGUAAGCAAGCUUUGAUCCGGAGAUUUCCGAAUGGGGAAACCCACCACUCGUAAUGGAGUGGUAUCCAUAUCUGAAUACAUAGGAUAUGAGAAGGCAGACCCGGGGAACUGAAACAUCUAAGUACCCGGAGGAAGAGAAAGCAAAUGCGAUUCCCUGAGUAGCGGCGAGCGAAACGGGACCAGCCCAAACCAAGAGGCUUGCCUCUUGGGGUUGUAGGACACUCUGUACGGAGUUACAAAGGAACGAGGUAGAUGAAGAGGUCUGGAAAGGCCCGCCAUAGGAGGUAACAGCCCUGUAGUCAAAACUUCGUUCUCUCCUGAGUGGAUCCUGAGUACGGCGGAACACGUGAAAUUCCGUCGGAAUCCGGGAGGACCAUCUCCCAAGGCUAAAUACUCCCUAGUGACCGAUAGUGAACCAGUACCGUGAGGGAAAGGUGAAAAGCACCCCGGAAGGGGAGUGAAAGAGAUCCUGAAACCGUGUGCCUACAAGUAGUCAGAGCCCGUUAACGGGUGAUGGCGUGCCUUUUGUAGAAUGAACCGGCGAGUUACGAUCCCGUGCAAGGUUAAGCAGAAGAUGCGGAGCCGCAGCGAAAGCGAGUCUGAAUAGGGCGAAUUGAGUACGUGGUCGUAGACCCGAAACCAGGUGAUCUACCCAUGUCCAGGGUGAAGUUCAGGUAACACUGAAUGGAGGCCCGAACCCACGCACGUUGAAAAGUGCGGGGAUGAGGUGUGGGUAGGGGUGAAAUGCCAAUCGAACCUGGAGAUAGCUGGUUCUCUCCGAAAUAGCUUUAGGGCUAGCCUCAAGGUAAGAGUCUCGGAGGUAGAGCACUGAUUGGACUAGGGGCCCCUACCGGGUUACCGAAUUCAGUCAAACUCCGAAUGCCGAUGACUUAUCCUUGGGAGUCAGACUGCGAGUGAUAAGAUCCGUAGUCGAAAGGGAAACAGCCCAGACCGCCAGCUAAGGUCCCAAAGUAUACGUUAAGUGGAAAAGGAUGUGGAGUUGCUUAGACAACCAGGAUGUUGGCUUAGAAGCAGCCACCAUUUAAAGAGUGCGUAAUAGCUCACUGGUCGAGUGACUCUGCGCCGAAAAUGUACCGGGGCUAAACGUAUCACCGAAGCUGCGGACUGUUCUUCGAACAGUGGUAGGAGAGCGUUCUAAGGGCUGUGAAGCAAGACCGGAAGGACUUGUGGAGCGCUUAGAAGUGAGAAUGCCGGUAUGAGUAGCGAAAGAGGGGUGAGAAUCCCCUCCACCGAAUGCCUAAGGUUUCCUGAGGAAGGCUCGUCCGCUCAGGGUUAGUCGGGACCUAAGCCGAGGCCGAAAGGCGUAGGCGAUGGAUAACAGGUUGAUAUUCCUGUACCACCUCCUCACCAUUUGAGCAAUGGGGGGACGCAGGAGGAUAGGGUAAGCGCGGUAUUGGAUAUCCGCGUCCAAGCAGUUAGGCUGGGAAAUAGGCAAAUCCGUUUCCCGUGAAGGCUGAGCUGUGAUGGCGAGCGAAUUAUAGUAGCGAAGUUCCUGAUUCCACACUGCCAAGAAAAGCCUCUAGCGAGGUGAGAGGUGCCCGUACCGCAAACCGACACAGGUAGGCGAGGAGAGAAUCCUAAGGUGAUCGAGAGAACUCUCGUUAAGGAACUCGGCAAAAUGACCCCGUAACUUCGGGAGAAGGGGUGCUCUGUUAGGGUGCAAGCCCGAGAGAGCCGCAGUGAAUAGGCCCAGGCGACUGUUUAGCAAAAACACAGGUCUCUGCGAAGCCGUAAGGCGAAGUAUAGGGGCUGACGCCUGCCCGGUGCUGGAAGGUUAAGAGGAGCGCUUAGCGUAAGCGAAGGUGCGAAUUGAAGCCCCAGUAAACGGCGGCCGUAACUAUAACGGUCCUAAGGUAGCGAAAUUCCUUGUCGGGUAAGUUCCGACCCGCACGAAAGGCGCAACGAUCUGGGCACUGUCUCAACGAGAGACUCGGUGAAAUUAUAGUACCUGUGAAGAUGCAGGUUACCCGCGACAGGACGGAAAGACCCCGUGGAGCUUUACUGCAGCCUGAUAUUGAAUGUUGGUACAGCUUGUACAGGAUAGGUAGGAGCCUUGGAAACCGGAGCGCCAGCUUCGGUGGAGGCAUCGGUGGGAUACUACCCUGGCUGUAUUGACCUUCUAACCCGCCGCCCUUAUCGGGCGGGGAGACAGUGUCAGGUGGGCAGUUUGACUGGGGCGGUCGCCUCCUAAAAGGUAACGGAGGCGCCCAAAGGUUCCCUCAGAAUGGUUGGAAAUCAUUCGCAGGGUGUAAAGGCACAAGGGAGCUUGACUGCGAGACCUACAAGUCGAGCAGGGACGAAAGUCGGGCUUAGUGAUCCGGUGGUUCCGCAUGGAAGGGCCAUCGCUCAACGGAUAAAAGCUACCCCGGGGAUAACAGGCUUAUCUCCCCCAAGAGUCCACAUCGACGGGGAGGUUUGGCACCUCGAUGUCGGCUCAUCGCAUCCUGGGGCUGUAGUCGGUCCCAAGGGUUGGGCUGUUCGCCCAUUAAAGCGGUACGCGAGCUGGGUUCAGAACGUCGUGAGACAGUUCGGUCCCUAUCCGUCGCGGGCGCAGGAAAUUUGAGAGGAGCUGUCCUUAGUACGAGAGGACCGGGAUGGACGCACCGCUGGUGUACCAGUUGUUCUGCCAAGGGCAUCGCUGGGUAGCUAUGUGCGGACGGGAUAAGUGCUGAAAGCAUCUAAGCAUGAAGCCCCCCUCAAGAUGAGAUUUCCCAUUCCGCAAGGAAGUAAGAUCCCUGAAAGAUGAUCAGGUUGAUAGGUCUGAGGUGGAAGUGUGGCGACACAUGGAGCUGACAGAUACUAAUCGAUCGAGGACUUAACCAAUUU
rnacentral:rRNA from 1 species